UCGAGCGAGAAUCGCACUUCGGUGCGAGAGUAGAGCGGCGGACGGGUGAGUAACGCGUGGAUAAUCUACCCGCGGAUUCGGGAUAACCCUGCGAAAGCGGGGCUAAUACCGGAUAGACUGACUAUUGUAGAGGUAGUCGGUAAAGGUAGCCUCUGAAACAAGCUAUCGUCUGCGGAUGAGUCCGCGUCUCAUUAGCUAGUUGGUGGGGUAAAGGCCUACCGAGGCGACGAUGAGUAGCUGGUCUGAGAGGAUGAUCAGCCACACUGGGACCGGAACACGGCCCAGACUCCUACGGGAGGCAGCAGUGGGGAAUAUUGGGCAAUGGGCGCAAGCCUGACCCAGCAACGCCGUGUGAGGGAAGAAGGUUUUCGGAUCGUAAACCUCUGUCAGGAGGGAAGAAGUGGCAUGUUUUUAAUAGAGACAUGCUUUGACGGUACCUCCGGAGGAAGCACCGGCUAACUCCGUGCCAGCAGCCGCGGUAACACGGAGGGUGCGAGCGUUAUUCGGAAUUACUGGGCGUAAAGCGCGCGUAGGUUGCGUGGUAAGUCAGAUGUGAAAGCCCUCGGCUCAACCGAGGAACCGCAUUUGAAACUGCUAUGCUUGAGUACGACAGAGGGUGGCGGAAUUCCCGUGUAGGGGUGAAAUCCGUAGAUAUCGGGAGGAACACCAGUGGCGAAGCG
rnacentral:rRNA from 1 species